AUAAAAAAUUGUGAUUUUUAAAAUUUAGUAGUAAUUUAUUUUACAUAUAAAUUUUAGUAUUAAUUUUUAAUUAUUUUAAUAAUAAUUAAUUUAAUUUGUAGUAAUUAAAAUUAAAAAUUUAAGAAAUUAAGAUUUAGUAAUAUUAAAAUUAUUAACAAAUUUUGUGCCAGCAGUUGCGGUUAUACAAAAAUUAAGGUAAAUUUUUUUAGUGUAAAAUAAAUUAUUAUUAUAAAUUAAAUUAAAUAUUAAAUUAUUAGGUGAAAUUUUAAUUUAAUUAAAAUUUAUAUUUAUUUUUUGUUUUAAUAAAUUUUGUUUAUAAACUAGGAUUAGAUACCCUAUUAUUAAAAAUUAAUUUUUAAUACUAAAAUAUUAGAUAUUUAAAAUUAUUGAAACUUAAGUAAUUUGGCGGUAUUUUAGUUCAUUUAGAGGAAUCUGUUUAGUAAUUGAUAAUCCACGAAUAAAUUUACUUAAUUUAAUGUUUUAUAUAUCGUUGUUAAAAAAAUAUUUUUUGAUAAAAAUAAUAUUUUAAAAUUAAAAUUAAAAAUUAAUUCAGAUCAAGAUGUAGAUUAUAGUUAAGAAUUAAAAUGGAUUACAAUAAAUUUAUUUAAAUGAAUUUUGUUUUGUAAUAAAUAAAUAAAGGUGGAUUUAAAUGUAAUUUUAUUUAAUUUAUUAAAAUGAUUAAAAAUUAAAAUAUGUACAUAUUGCCCGUCGCUUUCAUUUAAAAAUUGGAAUAAGUCGUAACAAAGUAGAAGUACUGGAAAGUGUUUCUAGAAAGA
rnacentral:ncRNA from 1 species